ensembl:lncRNA
CCCGUGUGCUGCGCUAAUCACUCCGCCUAAGUAACUUUAGCUGUGCUCCUUUGCCUAGUGAGAAUAUAGUUCCCAGUAUUUACACGAUUAAAAAUGGUCUCUGUCUCAUAUAGCCUUGUUAUUUGUACACACUGUGACUAUACAGAUCAGAACAUGUAAAUAGGAAAAUGUUUGCAUUAUUUUGUCACUUAUUGGAAUUACUAUGUGUGACGUUCAGGUCCAGUUAACGGUGAUUAACUGGCUGAGAUUCGGGCCAGUUAUGGCCCAUGUGUGGCCCAUGUGUUUAAUCCAGUUCUGGGCCACUUUAGGGCCGUCAUUCUUUGCGGCACUUAGGCAGAGGAAAAAAAGUGAUUGUUUGGCCCGGAUCUGGGCCAGAGGACAUUUGCUAUGUGGAUUUUUGGCCCAGCCAUCACCCAAAUUUGAACUUACUCAGUAAUAUAUUGGAUCACUGUUACACCACAAUAAAGGAUGCAUAUCACUCUGUUCCACGAGCAGCUUUUGGACGUUCUGAUCACUCUCUGGUUCAUCUUAUACCGUCCUACAGGCAGAAACUAAAAUCAGCUAAUCCUGUAGUAAGGACAGUAAAAAGAUGGACUAAUGAAACAGAGCAGGAUUUACAAUCUUGUUUUGACCUCACUGAGUGUUUUUGAAGCUGCUGCCACCGAUCUGGAUGAACUCACAGAGACCGUAACAUCAUAUAUCAGUUUCUGUGAGGAAAUGUGUAUUCCUACAAAGACUCAACUAAUUUACAAUAAUGACAAACCGUGGUUCACUGCAAAACUAAGACAGCUCCAUCAGUCCAAAGAAGAUGCUUACGUGAAGGGGGACAAUGUCUUGUAUAAACAGGCUAAAUACACACUGGAAAAAGAGAUCAAAGUGGCAAAGAGGAAUUAUUCUGAAAAAAUAAGGACUCAGUUCACUUCCAAUGACUCCGCAUCAGUGUGGAAAAGUCUAAAGAAGAUCACCAAUUACAAGACACCACCCCCCAGCACUGUGGAGAAUCAACAACUGGCAGACGAUCUGAACGAGAUUUACUGCAGGUUUGAAAGAACACCCAUCACCUGCCCUGAAUACCUCCCCACACAACCAUUCACACAAUUCACAAUUCCUGCAACCAGCCCUGAAUGCCUCUCCAAACAACUGUUCACACCAUUAACAGCUCCUACAACCCAUCCUGAACACCUCUCCUAUCAAGCACUCUCACCAUUCACACCCCCUGCAUCCCCCCUCUCCCCCACACCUGCAAUUCAGAUCAGUGAGGAUGCAGUGCGCCAGUUCUUCCGGAAGCAGAAAAAGAAAAAAGCACCAGGCCCAGAUUGUGUUACACCAGCCUGUCUGAAAUCCUGUGCUUACCAGCUGGCCCCCAUCUUCACACAGAUCUUCAACAGAUUGCUGGAGCUGUGCGAAGUCCCGUCAUGCUUCAAACGCUCUACCAUCAUCCCCAUCCCUAAGAAAACCAAAAUUACAGGACUAAGUGGUUACAGGCCUGUGGCUCUAACGUCUGUAGUCAUGAAGUCAUUUGAAAAACUGGUGCUGGCCAACCUGAAGGACAUCACUGGGCCCUUGCUGGAUCCUCUUCAGUUUGCCUACAGAGCAAACAGGUCUGUGGACGAUGCAGUAAACAUUGGACUGCAUUAUGUUCUGCAACACCUAGACAGACCGGGGACUUAUGUGAGGAUCCUGUUUGUUGACUUCAGCUCGGCCUUCAACACGAUCAUCCCAAACCUUAUCCUGCCCAAACUAAAUCAGCUCUCCGUGCCCACCUCUCUCUGUCAGUGGAUCAACAGCUUCCUGGCAGACAGGCAGCAGCUAGUGAGGUUGGGAAAAUACACAUCCAGCACCCAUACAAUCAGCACCGGAGCUCCCC